GUGUGUGUGUUGAUGUGUGUGUGUGUUGAUGUGUGUGUGUGUGUGUGUGUGUGUGUGUGUGUGUGUGUGUUCUCAGGUGUCCCUCUAUUCCAUUUCAAAGUGGGGGUCUUGAGGAGGGUCUUGAGGGGGGUCUUGAGGGGGGUCUUGAGGGGGGUCUUGAGGAGGGUCUUGAGGGGGAUCUUGAGGGGGGUCUUGAGGAGGGUCUUGAGGAGGGGUCUUGAGGAGCUUCAGGAAUGUCUUUGAACUGAAGGAAACCAUGAAGUGAAGUGGGUACAGGGAGCUGCUGGACCACGUCGGUCGUCAUCAGAACGUCUGGCCCCAACACAGACCUCACCUUCAGCCGACACA